rnacentral:rRNA from 1 species
GACGAACGCUGGCGGCGUGCUUAACACAUGCCAGUCGAACGAAGAGCGAUGGAAGCUUGCUUCUAUCAAUCUUAGUGGCGUACGGGUGAGUAACGCGUAAUCAACCUGCCCUUCAGAGGGGGACAACAGUUGGAAACGACUGCUAAUACCGCAUACGAUCUAAACUCGGCAUCGAGGAUAGAUGAAAGGUGGCCUCUACAUGUAAGCUAUCACUGAAGGAGGGGAUUGCGUCUGAUUAGCUAGUUGGAGGGGUAACGGCCCACCAAGGCGAUGAUCAGUAGCCGGGCUGAGAGGAUGAGCGGCCACAUUGGGACUGAGACACGGCCCAGACUCCUACGGGAGGCAGCAGUGGGGAAUCUUCCGCAAUGGAGGAAAGUCUGACGGAGCAACGCCGCGUGAGUGAUGAAGGCCUUCGGGUUGUAAAGCUCUGUUAAUCGGGACGAAAGGCCUUCUUGCGAAUAGUGAGAAGGAUUGACGGUACCGGAAUAGAAAGCCACGGCUAACUACGUG